AGAAUUUAAUAUCCAAGAAAAAAAUGCUGAAUAUGUAAAGUAUCAUUUAUUAUAGAAUCAUUUAUUUACAUACAAUAUAUAUACAGUGGUACUACUAAACUAAAUUAAUAACUAGCUUAAAUCUAAAAUAGGCCCUUGAGGCAUUGUACCCAGGAUGCUGGCGGCAUUUCCUCGCUGUAUCGCAAUGCUGAUACGUUGUACGUAAAAUGAUAUACCAAUUAUACGGGUUACAUCUUAAAAAAGAUGAUUAUCUUGGAAAGGAUACACAGUUUCAGGAACGCGUGAAAAUCUAAAGUUUAAAUAAAAGAGAAGAAAUUUCCGAUGGCUGUGGGAAUGUAACAAAAUUUUAAAGUAGCGAUUUAAGAUAAUCAAUCAUCUACAAACACGUUUUCGGCCACAGCGAAUACGUUCACCACUAAGAAUGUCGGUGGUGCGCUCUCAAAGUAAAAAAAAAGAGUUCAAUGGACUGGCACUGGUUUCACCAAGAACGAUGAGCGAGAAGCGAUUGGAGCUACAAAAUAAGAAAUGACUUGGCGCGCGAGCAGCGAGAAGCGAGUAUAGUUCUGUUGCAACCGGAAAGCGAUGAUCACACGGCAAAUCAAAUCCUGAAGACUAUAGCAGCCACGUCAAUGAAAGGGAGUGCGCAAAAGAAUUGCACGACCUGAUCCCAGCUUUCCCUUUCCGGACGUCCAGGCGCGAGGAGCGAAUGCACCCGUUCGUUGUUAAUAUUCCAUUUGUCCGCACAAAACGAUUUGCCUCAUCUUUUUUGGUAAGGACGAUUAAGGAAUGGAAUGCGCUUCCGUCAUCUGAGUUUCCUGGGAAAUUUGACCUCGGUCUCUUUAAAGCAAGAGUGAAUAGGCUAUUACUUACUGAGCCGGUAAGCUCCAUCAUCUUAGGCUCUGUUUUCACUUUCCAUCAGGUGUGACUAGAGCCAAUGCCCGUUCAGUUUAUUAUAAAAAAUAUAUAUAC